rnacentral:rRNA from 1 species
AUACGGAGGAUGCAAGCGUUAUCCGGUUUUAUUGGGUUUAAAGGGUGCGUAGGCGGGACUGUAAGUCAGGGGUGAAAUACUGCAGCUUAACUGUAGCAUUGCCUUUGAAACUGCCGUUCUUGAGUACAGUUGAGGUAGGCGGAAUGUGGGGUGUAGCGGUGAAAUGCAUAGAUAUACCACAGAACGCCGAUUGCGAAGGCAGCUUACUAAGCUGUUACUGACGCUGAGGCACGAAGGCGUGGGGAUCAAACAGGAUUAGAUACCCUGGUAGUCCACGCUGUAAACGAUGAUUACUGGUUGUUAGCGAUAUAUAGCUAGUGACUGAGCGAAAGCAUUAAGUAAUCCACCUGGGGAGUACGUCGGCAACGAUGAAACUUAAAGGAAUUGACGGGG